UUGAAAUUCCCACUUAAUGUAAAAAUCUUUAUGUGGUAUCUUUGUAGGGGAGUUCUUCUAACGAAAGACAACCUUGCACGGCGCAACUGGCCAGGGAGUAAGAAGUGUUGCUUUUUUGCUCAUGACGAGACAAUCAAACACCUCUUUUUCCAAUCCAAGUUUGCACAUUCUACAUGGUCAGUCAUCCAAAUAGCGUCAAAUUUGUGUCCGCCAACAAGUAUUGCCAAUAUAUUUGGUCAUAGGUUGGACAGAAUUCCAAAUAGUUUCAUAAUGCUAAUAAGGGUGGGGGUGUAUGCCUUACUAUGGUCACUUUGGCUAUAUAGAAAUGAUUUGAUUUUUAAUGACAAUCUUGCUUCCUCUGCAGGUUAUUUUCCGUUGUACACACUCGCUUCAUACGUGACCUACACUACAACGGGCGGAGCACCAACAGUUGUUCAAGGCGGUGUGUACGCGGUUGGAGCAGGCGGCUAUGGAGGUUUUUCCCAACAUGGGUGCUAG
rnacentral:rRNA from 1 species